UGGAAGAAUUGAAGCCAAACUAGUAUACUUUUUUGACGUAAAAUGUCGUUUUAUGUACAAAACACUUGGAAUGGACAUCGUUCAGUGUGAGGAAUAUGUACAGCCUCAUAAAAAUUUUCAAAAUUUUGCCGUUUUGGGUUUAAAAAUUACGAUUUGGGGUCUAAGAGCAGAAUUUUGAGAAUUUCACCUAGAUAAUGCCGAA
rnacentral:lncRNA from 1 species